rfam:Brachypodium distachyon strain Bd21 chromosome 3, whole genome shotgun sequence.
AUACCUUUCUCGGCCUUUUGGCUAAGAUCAAGUGUAGUAUCUGUUCUUAUCAGUUUAAUAUCUGAUAUGUGGGCUAUGUGCCCACAACGAUAUUAAAUUUAUUUUUCGUGGGGCGGGUCCACCACAGUGGCUUGCCACUGGGGCCCUCGCGUGUUGCCCAGGCGUUGCACUAUUGCCUGGCCAGGCGCACCCCAA